UGCAGACUUGAUUAGCCUGCCUACCACUGUAGAGGGACUUCAGAAGAGUGUAGCUUCCAUUGGCAAUACUUUAAACAGUGUCCAUCUUGCUGUGGAAGCACUACAGAAAACUGUGGAUGAACACAAGAAAACGCUGGAAUUACUGCAGAGUGAUAUGAAUCAGCACUUCUUGAAGGAGACUCCUGGAAGCAACCAGAUCAUUCCAUCACCUUCAGCCACAUCAGAACUUGACAAUAAAACCCACAGUGAGAAUUUGAAACAGGAUAUCCUGUACCUUCACAACUCUUUAGAGGAGGUAAACAGUGCCCUAGUGGGGUACCAGAGACAGAAUGAUCUUAAACUCGAGGGAAUGAACGAGACAGUCAGUAAUCUUACCCAGAGAGUCAACCUGAUAGAAAGCGAUGUGGUUGCUAUGAGCAAGGUAGAAAAGAAAGCAAACCUGUCCUUCAAUAUGAUGGGUGAUAGAUCUGCCACUCUGAAAAGAGAGUCUUUGGAUCAAGUCACCAACAGAACAGAUACAGUAAAAAUCCAAAGCAUAAAGAAAGAAGAUAGUUCAAAUUCUCAGGUAUCCAAGCUAAGAGAGAAACUCCAGCUGAUCAGUGCUCUUACAAACAAACCUGAGAGCAACAGGCCUCCAGAGACCGCCAAUGAAGGUGAGAGCAGAGCCGGCUUCUUAAUAUUUCAUGGAGGCUUGAGCAGCUUGCCUCCCACACGGGGAGCAGGGAAGGUGUUCCAGCAGUACUGAUCGCACCAAGCGAGUGAUGCCUGAACGCACCGAGAUGAAGCUGAUACACUUUGCUUCCAUUUAGAAAAGGCCCAUUUUGUACAUGAUUUGUACUCUAGUCUAUUAAGAGAAGAAUCGGUAAUGUUUAGCUGGAAAUAGAAUUCUCCAUGCUGUCUGCAUCCAAUUAUAGGCAAAAAUGUUACUGUCAUAGCGUAUAUUAAACCAGCCCUAAAAGUUGUUUAUGGGAG
rnacentral:sRNA from 1 species